AUGCUGCAUCUUUCAGCGAUUUUCCAGCACUAAAUCUGCUUUUGUGUUGCAGCUACCAAGAGUAACUGCUGAAGUCUCCAGUGCUACAGCAAUGAAAAAGCAAAAUUGGGUGCCUGGAGGAAAAGUAAUCUUGUUCAACUGAGCUCUGUCUCAAAAGCAGGUUACCGUGGCUUAAUGAAUUAUCGUGAGUUUGCAGAACAGCGUGUUACCUUACCUAAAAGGGUGCAACGGAGGUCCUGGGUCCCAGUGUGAGGCAUGAUACAAAGAUGCAAGGCCCAGCAGAAGACAACUCAGGUUUGUUAUGAAUUGAGGAUAAAUAUCACUGAUAAAAUGGAGGUCAACAACUUAGCAGCAUCUUGUGGAAAAGGUUUGGAGGAGCCUUUGAAACAUCUGCUGACAAACUCUGAUGAGAAGGCAGUAAUGUGCUUGAAACAAACUUGA
rnacentral:lncRNA from 1 species